rnacentral:rRNA from 1 species
AUUGAACGCUGGCGGCAGGCCUAACACAUGCAAGUCGAACGGUAACAGGGAUAAGCUUGCUGCUUCGCUGACGAGUGGCGGACGGGUGGGUAAUGUCUGGGAAACUGCCUGAUGGAGGGGGAUAACUACUGGAAACGGUAGCUAAUACCGCAUAACGUCGCAAGACCAAAGAGGGGGACCUUCGGGCCUCUUGCCAUCGGAUGUGCCCAGAUGGGAUUAGCUAGUAGGUGGGGUAACGGCUCACCUAGGCGACGAUCCCUAGCUGGUCUGAGAGGAUGACCAGCCACACUGGAACUGAGACACGGUCCAGACUCCUACGGGAGGCAGCAGUGGGGAAUAUUGCACAAAGGGCGCAAGCCUGAUGCAGCCAUGCCGCGUGUAUGAAGAAGGCCUUCGGGUUGUAAAGUACUUUCAGCGGGGAGGAAGGGAGUAAAGUUAAUACCUUUGCUCAUUGACGUUACCCGCAGAAGAAGCACCGGCUAACUCCGUG